AACGAACGCUGGCGGCAGGCUUAACACAUGCAAGUCGAGCGCAUCCUUCGGGGUGAGCGGCGGACGGGUGAGUAACGCGUGGGAACGUGCCCUCUUCUACGGAAUAGCCCAGGGAAACUUGGAUUAAUGCCGUAUACGCCCGAAAGGGGAAAGAUUUAUCGGAGGAGGAUCGGCCCGCGUUGGAUUAGGUAGUUGGUGGGGUAAUGGCCUACCAAGCCGACGAUCCAUAGCUGGUUUGAGAGGAUGAUCAGCCACACUGGGACUGAGACACGGCCCAGACUCCUACGGGAGGCAGCAGUGGGGAAUCUUGGACAAUGGGGGAAACCCUGAUCCAGCCAUGCCGCGUGAUCGAUGAAGGCCUUAGGGUUGUAAAGAUCUUUCAGCUGGGAAGAUAAUGACGGUACCAGCAGAAGAAGCCCCGGCUAACUCCGUG
rnacentral:rRNA from 2 species